UAUCCCUCUAUCCUUCACGUCACUUCUUGUCACACGAUCCUUUUAUUAUAUUCGGUUAAUGCUUAAUGCUGCGUUGCAACUCAGAGUGCACCGAUCACGUUAAAAACAAUCGCUGCUGCUUUGUUGCUGAACAUACCUGAAGAUGGCGUUCACAGUGAGAUUCUUCGAUUUUCAAGAUUCCGUUUGAAAGUGUGCAUGUAUAUGUGACAACGUACUGCAUUGCGUCGACGACCCAUUUUGCAAAGAUCUACUCCUUCGUACAAACUCUGAUAGUAAUAUGUAGAGUGUUUAAAGUGGUAUUGCGAUUUUUAUGCGUUCUCGCGCUUUUAAAAUCGCGAUUUUCUUUUAUUAUCGAUUUCUCGCUAAAAGCGUUGCACUUGAAAUCGAAAUCGGUUUCUGUACUAGGUCACGUGGCAAUAAGAUCACGUGGCGCUUCUGCAUACUCCGUUAGAGGGAAGCACGGAUAAUCUCGAGCAAGCACGACGGCCAACAAUCCUUUCCCGUAAAUACAUACAUACGUUAUUGUCAUCAAAGUGAGGUCGAUUAACUAAAACAAUACCACGGCUUCCAAAAAUGUAAUGCUCGUCGCGGCAUUAAAGGCUAUAUCGAGAGUGUACAAGUGUUUAUAUGUCACAGUCAGAAGUGACCUAGUUUACAAAUGAAUUUUCGCUUCUGAAUUUUCUUUGGCUAUGACCCUGCAGUGAGUGUUCUUGAAGUCGGUGGUCUCCGUGAGACAGUAGCGAUACUGUCUCGAAAGUGAGUUCAUGGCUGUUUAUAGAAUGCGGAAGAAAGUAAACGAUACCGUUUAAUCUGUUUAGAACGAGAAUUUUUAUGAAAUAUGAGUGUCAUUGUGUUUUCUGCGAAUGAAACAAUUAGGUUACGUUGACAAGAAACACGGUCCUUUACAAGUACUAAACAGCAUAAUAGCAUUUUGUAUGUCUAUG
rnacentral:misc_RNA from 1 species